UUUGGUGACAUCUGUUCACUCUUCUGUCUAGGUAUCUCUGUGCUUGGUUGUCACAGCCACUAUUUGUUCACAAUCUUUUUGUUUCUGGGAAAUUAAGUUUUCUACAAGAUGGGAAACAAUAUCUGCUAGUAUCAAAAUGUAAAUCAGUUUAUAACCAUACAGAGUUGGAGGACAAACACGACUGCAAGACAUCACCAUUUACAGAAGGAGGCUACUGUCAUCAUUUGGAGAGUAUAACAGAAAAUGCAUCCCAAAUAGAGACAGAAUGGCUUUUCGGCCUGGCAGAGCCCUGGCUCACACUGUUUCAGUGGCGAACAUCCAGGGUGAUAAUCCCUGCAAGCAAUCGCUUAGCUGGUGCUGAUCCUCCAGCAGGCUGUUGGAGCAAAGGUUAUCAGGUAAGUGAGGAACUCCAGUGAGGCCUACAAGUGUGAAGAGAGAAAAUGGCUUCAGUCUGUCAUUAAAGGCAGAAGUUUAUUUUAAAGAUCACAUUUGAAACGUGGGUAAGGAAUUAAUUAUGCUGUUAGCUGACUGAUAGCUUAUUGAUUAGCAGUUCCUGCCUUUCCGUCUUUUAGGAAUUAUGCUGCUGGCUUCCUUUCUUAAAAGCUUCCUAUCACUGCUGUUCUUUGGGAUUUAUGUGUAUAUCUCCAUUAAGGCUCUUAUAGCUUAUCUGAUGCAUGUGCUUGAUCUGCUAUCUAACUGCUGGCUCUAUUUACUAAUUUUACUAUGACUAGGCAACAACAAAAAAAAAGCCAAACCAAAAAAAGUGUUAUUCCUCUCUUUCUCCACAUUUUCUCAAACAGCAUAUUUACCACUUCUGCAGCCUCUUUGAGCAUGAGAAUUUUAGUGGCUGAGACACAAGAUUUAUACUGGUAAGAAAAAGACUUAGGGCUAUACUUUUGUUAGUCCCAGCAGAAUUCAGAGCUGUCUUCAUAGACCACAGAACAGUGUUUGAUGUGAAAGUGCUACAGCACGAUUACAAUGGAGUCUUUUCCAACGUAUCAGCAUUUUUUUUAUCAGAAGAUUUCUACGUUAUUGAGCCUCUGGGAAUACAGCUGGAAAUUACAGUCAUGCCACUGGAAAUGUGCCCAAAGAUCUGAUGUCACAUAAAUGUAGGAGUGAAAAUUGUCUGUAUAGGGGUGAAGCCAAAUAGACAAAGUUCACUGUAGAG